rnacentral:rRNA from 1 species
UACGGAGGGUGCAAGCGUUAUCCGGAUUCACUGGGUUUAAAGGGUGCGUAGGCGGAUUAGUAAGUCCGUGGUGAAAUCUCCGAGCUUAACUCGGAAACUGCCGUGGAUACUAUCAAUCUUGAAUAUCGUGGAGGUAAGCGGAAUAUGUCAUGUAGCGGUGAAAUGCUUAGAGAUGACAUAGAACACCAAUUGCGUAGGCAGCUUACUACACGAUCAUUGACGCUGAGGCACGAAAGCGUGGGGAGCAAACAGG